rnacentral:rRNA from 1 species
CGAAGGUUAGCUAAUCCUGGUCGGACAUCAGGAGGUUAGUGCAAUGGCAUAAGCUAGCUUGACUGCGAGCGUGACGGCGCGAGCAGGUGCGAAAGCAGGUCAUAGUGAUCCGGUGGUUCUGAAUGGAAGGGCCAUCGCUCAACGGAUAAAAGGUACUCCGGGGAUAACAGGCUGAUACCGCCCAAGAGUUCAUAUCGACGGCGGUGUUUGGCACCUCGAUGUCGGCUCAUCACAUCCUGGGGCUGAAGUAGGUCCCAAGGGUAUGGCUGUUCGCCAUUUAAAGUGGUACGCGAGCUGGGUUUAGAACGUCGUGAGACAGUUCGGUCCCUAUCUGCCGUGGGCGCUGGAGAAUUGAGGGGGGCUGCUCCUAGUACGAGAGGACCGGAGUGGACGCAUCACUGGUGUUCGGGUUGUCAUGCCAAUGGCACUGCCCGGUAGCUAAAUGCGGAAGAGAUAAGUGCUGAAAGCAUCUAAGCACGAAACUUGCCCCGAGAUGAGUUCUCCCUGAGACUUUAAGUCUCCUGAAGGAACGUUGAAGACGACGACGUUGAUAGGCCGGGUGUGUAAGCGCAGCGAUGCGUUGAGCUAACCGGUACUAAUGAACCGUGAGGCUUAACCUU